UAGGCAGGGAUUGUGUGUAUCGGUGUUGCGCUACAAAUAAAUGUACUCUGUUUCUGAAAGAGUUCCCUGCAGGAGGGAAAAAAAAAUUAACUGGGUGGGCAGUGGUGCUUCAUUUGCUUUGUUGGGAGUUUGAGCAAUCAUCUUCCUCAUAUUA